CACACACAGACAGCAAAGCAAGAAGCAGCAGUUUAUUAAGCACAGUAUCACACUCUUGGAGAGGGAGAGCGAACUGAUCUCUAUGAGAUUGUGAGCACCCGUGCUGUGCCUUGAGAUUUCCAGCAAAGGAUCUCAGUGAGGAACAGAGAAAGCAAAAAACUCCCCAGAGUCACCCCGGCUGAUAUGUCUUUCAUACUUGAAAGAGU